UAUUAUGUGGUAUAGUGGUUUUUAGCAUUAGACUAGGACUCUUGAGACCAGGGUUUGAAUCCCUGCUUGAGCA